AAUAUUUUUGGGGUUCACUCCAACUAAAAGGAAUCUUAUAGGCGGUGAACAUAUAUCCAAUGGUGAAAAGAGAAUGUACAAUUCACCAAAUUCAGCCCUGAACAAAGCAAGAACGCAGCUAUUGAACAAGCAGCUGAUGCCAUCUGCGGGUAGGAACAUCGGGCACUAUGCUGUCAAUGGAGGUGAUGAAGAUUCAUAAGCUGCUGCCCGGCC